AGAGCGAACGCUGGCGGCAGGCCUAAUACAUGCAAGUCGAACGGAUCCUUCGGGAUUAGUGGCGGACGGGUGAGUAACACGUGGGAACGUACCCUUUGGUUCGGAACAACUCAGGGAAACUUGAGCUAAUACCGAAUGUGCCCUUCGGGGAAAAGAUUUAUCGCCAUUGGAGCGGCCCGCGUCUGAUUAGCUAGUUGGUAGGGUAAAGGCCUACCAAGGCUACGAUCAGUAGCUGGUCUGAGAGGAUGAUCAGCCACACUGGGACUGAGACACGGCCCAGACUCCUACGGGAGGCAGCAGUAGGGAAUCUUGCGCAAUGGGCGAAAGCCUGACGCAGCCAUGCCGCGUGAAUGAUGAAGGUCUUAGGAUUGUAAAAUUCUUUCAGCGGGACGAUAAUGACGGUACCGCAGAAGAAGCCCGGCUAACUUCGUGCCAGCAGCCGC
rnacentral:rRNA from 1 species